GGGAAACACCCCGGAUCGCCGGUUAAGGCCCCUAAGGGUGUACUAAGUGGAAAAGGAUGUGGGAUCGCGAAGACAGCCAGGAGGUUGGCUUAGAAGCAGCCAUCCUUGAAAGAGUGCGUAAUAGCUCACUGGUCGAGUGGUUCUGCGCCGACAAUGUAGUGGGGCUCAAGUACACCGCCGAAGCCGCGGCAAGCAACAUUUUUUUGUUGUUUGGGUAGGGGAGCGUCGUGCAUGGGUGGAAGCGUUACCGUGAGGAGGCGUGGACUGUGUGCGAGUGAGAAUGCAGGCAUGAGUAACGAAUUGUAAGGUGAGAAUCCUUACCGCCGGAUGACUAAGGGUUCCUGGGUCAAGUUCGUCUUCCCAGGGUGAGUCGGGACCUAAGGCGAGGCCGACAGGCGUAGUCGAUGGAUAACCAGUUGAUAUUCUGGUACCCGUACAUGUGCGCCCAUGAUAAAGCACGGAUACUAACCACUGCGGAUACGCUACCUUUGCACUUUUUUGAGUGUUGGUGGUGUUGAUGUCGUGGGGCCUGAUGUGUGGUUCAAGUGAUGGGGUGACGCAGUGAGGUAGCCGCGCCACUUAGUGGAUUGGUGGUGUAAGCGUGUAGGCCGUGUGGUAGGUAAAUCCGCCACACAUAGAGGUUGAGGCGUGAUGCGUAGACCCUAAGCGGGUUGAUGGUGGUGAUCCUGUACUGUCGAGAAAAGCCUCUAGCGAGUGUGUGUAUGGCCCGUACCCUAAACCGACACAGGUGGUCAGGUUGAAGAUACUAAGGCGUUCGGGUGAACUGUGGUUAAGGAAUUCGGCAAAAUGCCCCCGUAACUUCGGGAGAAGGAGGGCCCUGUGACGUGACGACCCUGUGCGGUUGGAGUGUUGUGGGGUCGCAGAGAAUAGAGGGAAGCGACUGUUUAUCAAAAACACAGGUCCAUGC
rnacentral:rRNA from 1 species